UACGUAGGGGGCAAGCGUUGUCCGGAUUUACUGGGCGUAAAGCGCCCGCAGGCGGUCUUUUAAGUUUGGAGUGACAGGUAGCGGCUUAACUGCUGCAGGGCUCGUGAAAACUGGAAGACUUGAGGACGAGAGAGGGACGCGGAAUUCCAGGUGGAGCGGUGAAAUGCGUAGAGAUCUGGAAGAACACCGAAGGCGAAGGCAGCGUCCUGGAUCGUAUCUGACGCUCAUGGGCGAAAGCUAGGGGAGCGAACGGGG
rnacentral:rRNA from 1 species